UCCGUAGGCGGGACUGUAGGUCGUCGAGUGAAAUACCACGGCCUCAACCGUGGAACUGCUCGGCGAACCACAGUUCUUGAGGCGAGCAGAGGCGAUCAGAACGAUAGGUGGAGCGGUGAAAUGCGUAGAUAUCUAUCGGAAUGCCAAAGGUGAAGACAGGUCGCUGGGCUCGUCCUGACGCUGAGGGACGAAAGCGUGGGGAGCAAACG
rnacentral:rRNA from 1 species